GUCCGUUCAUCCCUUCGGGGGACGCAUGAAACCACAUCAUGGAACGGGGGUGUGGU
ncrna:unclassified sequences Glutamine-II riboswitch (downstream peptide RNA)